GACGAACGCUGGCGGCGUGCCUAAUACAUGCAAGUCGAACGAGAGCGACCGGUGCUUGCACUGGUCAAUCUAGUGGCGAACGGGUGAGUAACACGUGGGUAACCUGCCCAUCAGAGGGGGAUAACAUUCGGAAACGGAUGCUAAAACCGCAUAGGUCUUCGAACCGCAUGGUUUGAAGGGGAAAAGAGGCGCAAGCUUCUGCUGAUGGAUGGACCCGCGGUGCAUUAGCUAGUUGGUGAGGUAACGGCUCACCAAGGCCGUGAUGCAUAGCCGACCUGAGAGGGUGAUCGGCCACAUUGGGACUGAGACACGGCCCAAACUCCUACGGGAGGCAGCAGUAGGGAAUCUUCCGCAAUGGACGCAAGUCUGACGGAGCAACGCCGCGUGAGUGAAGGAGGUUUUCGGAUCGUAAAACUCUGUUGUUAGAGAAGAAUAAGUGCUAGAGUAACUGUUAGCGCCUUGACGGUAUCUAACCAGAAAGCCACGGCUAACUACGUG
rnacentral:rRNA from 1 species